UGGGGAAUCUUGCGCAAUGGGCGAAAGCCUGACGCAGCAACGCCGCGUGAGUGAUGAAGGCCUUCGGGUCGUAAACUCCUGUCAGAUGGGGCGAAGGUCCACUGCCUAAUACGCAGUGGUCUUGACGGUACCAUCAGAGGAAGCCACGGCUAACUCUGUGCCAGCAGCCGCGGUAAUACAGAGGUGGCGAGCGUUAUUCGGAAUUAUUGGGCGUAAAGCGUACGUAGGCGGUUAUUCAAGUCAGAGGUGAAAGCCCGGGGCUCAACCCCGGAACGGCCUUUGAAACUAGAUAGCUAGAAUCUUGGAGAGGUCAGUGGAAUUCCGAGUGUAGAGGUGAAAUUCGUAGAUAUUCGGAAGAACACCAGUGGCGAAGGCGACUGACUGGACAAGUAUUGACGCUGAGGUACGAAAGCGUGGGGAGCAAACAGGAUUAGAUACCCCAGUAGUCCCUGAGCGGGCUGGCAAGGCGCAU
rnacentral:rRNA from 1 species